rnacentral:tRNA from 1 species
UAUAUUUUAGUAUAUGAUGUACUUAAAUUUUUGAAAUUUUAAGAAAUAGUUUAAUUCUAUUAAAUAUAA